GAUCUCCUUGUUCAACACCGCAACCACCAGUUUCCCUAGAACACCUAAUAGCCAAAGACCACCAUCAUUCGGCCUCGCUGCUAUGUUCUUUUAAUCACCGCAAUACCAUCGUAGUGACCACCGCCACACCGUUGUUCAUGCCGCACAAACACCACACGCCGUCGCACCUCCGUCUGCCGCCAUUGGUUUGGUCGCCUGAAAGAUCCGAUUCACGAACACCCAAUCGGGUCACAACAGUUACCACCGCAGACCAUCACCGUACCACCGUCAAACGGCCAUUCAACCACCACCGUACUAUUUCAUGGUUGAUUACUGCAAUGCGCUUACAUUAACCGAGCACCGAUACCUUUGUUUUGAAAUUUUUCGGCCACCGUUCGUCACCGUAAGGUUGUCGUAUAUGAUUCGGGUGAGACAUUAUAAAUUUUGUCAAGUUGCGAGCUAAGCUUUUAAGGUAAUCUGGGGUUUCGGUGUGGAGCGUUUGAAAGUUGCUGAUCAAGAUUCCUUAUUUCAGUAAUGUAAUAAAAUGUAAUUACGAUUUUUUUUAUGUUAUGGAUUGGGUUUUAGUUUUGA